ACCUUGCGAAAGUAAGACUAAUGCCCAAUGACGUCUCUAGAAGACAUCUGAAGGAGAUUAAAGAUUUAUCGGUGAUGGAUGGGGAUGCGUCUGAUUAGCUUGUUGGCGGGGUAACGGCCCACCAAGGCGACGAUCAGUAGGGGUUCUGAGAGGAAGGUCCCCCACAUUGGAACUGAGACACGGUCCAAACUCCUACGGGAGGCAGCAGUGAGGAAUAUUGGUCAAUGGGCGAGAGCCUGAACCAGCCAAGUAGCGUGCAGGAUGACGGCCCUAUGGGUUGUAAACUGCUUUUAUAAGGGAAUAAAGUGAGUCUCGUGAGACUUUUUGCAUGUACCUUAUGAAUAAGGACCGGCUAAUUCCGUGCCAGCAGCCGCGGUAAUACGGAAGGUCCGGGCGUUAUCCGGAUUUAUUGGGUUUAAAGGGAGCGUAGGCCGGAGAUUAAGCGUGUUGUGAAAUGUAGACGCUCAACGUCUGCACUGCAGCGCGAACUGGUUUCCUUGAGUACGCACAAAGUGGGCGGAAUUCGUGGUGUAGCGGUGAAAUGCUUAGAUAUCACGAAGAACUCCGAUUGCGAAGGCAGCUCACUGGAGCGCAACUGACGCUGAAGCUCGAAAGUGCGGGUAUCGAACAGGAUUAGAUACCCUGGUAGUCCGCACGGUAAACGAUGGAUGCCCGCUGUUGGUCUGAAUAGGUCAGCGGCCAAGCGAAAGCAUUAAGCAUCCCACCUGGGGAGUA
rnacentral:rRNA from 1 species